GUCGCUUGGCAUCGUGGGCAAUGGCGUCUUCUGUCUUCCUCUCUCUCCUCCCUUCGUCUUCCUCUCUCCCUUCGACUACACUAACCCAUUCCCAGAUCCACUUCUCCCGGCUUCAUCCCUCCGUCACACCGAGGCGAUCCUCCUCCUCCUCCUCCUCGCUAUCUUCUCGCGGUUAUGGCGGUCGACCUUUCGUCCUCCGCAGGAGGCCGACGAUCGCCGCUGUUCAUAACUUUGCCGCCCCCAUCAUAUCUCCUAGCGAUGAAUGGGGGAACUGGACGGCUCUGUUCGCCGCUGGGGCCUUCGGAAUCUGGUCGGAGAAGACCAAGAUUGGCAGCGCUCUGAGCGGCGCGCUGGUGAGCACUUUGGUCGGCCUGGCGGCGAGUAGCGCGGGGAUCGUCGCCCCAGAUGCGCCCGCCUACCGUGUGGUGCUCGAGUUCCUGCUCCCCGUAGCUGUGCCGCUGCUUCUCUUCAACGCCGACCUUCGUCGCGUGCUCAAGUCGACUGGAACUCUCCUUCUGGCUUUCUUGGUGGGAUCUGGCACGUUGCGUUUUCCUUAUGACUUUUUUUUUUUUUAACUUGUUUCGGUAUCGAUCUUAGUUUGGUCUCAUUCUCAUUUCGUCUUUAGCUUGUUGUUUAGAUCUUCUAUAAGAAAUUACAAAUGCUAUGUUUUCGAUUAUUGCACUUGUAGCAACUCGUCGAAUGAAAGUACAUCGGCAUAUUUCAAAUGACAACAUUUGAAGAGACAGUUGCCACAACAAUUGGCACCAUAGUAGCAUAUCUCCUAGUUCCCAUGCGAUCACUUGGACCAGAUAGUUGGAAGAUUGCAGCCGCUUUGAUGAGCAGACAUAUUGGUGGAGCUGUCAAUUAUGUUGCUGUUUCAGAGUACUUUGGUGUUUCUCCUUCAGUUUUAACAGCAGGAUUAGCUGCAGACAACGUUAUAUGUGCAGUAUAUUUUACAUCUCUUUUUGCAUUAGCCUCUAAAAUACCUGCUGAAGCUACUUUGUCUACUAAUGGUAUGUUCUUUUACACACAUUCUCAUGAUCUUUUAUCUUUUGCCCUCCACAAUUUCGAAACAGGGCUCUUAUUAAUAGGUUUAUUUAAUAAACCAUUAAUAUUUACUGAGAGAACUGAUUUCUUUGAGAUAUGAAUGGGAAAGAAUGGCACUUGACAAAAUUGGUUUCUAGCUGCAUGCGAUUGAACAACAUUUUAGCGAAAUGCAAUAUACUACGAACAAAUCAGUUGCAAACUAUGAAUGGCUGUUCCUUAUGGCCUCCGCGAACCAUCUGAUAAUAAGCAAGUAACUACAUGAUGUUCAACUCCCCUCUGAGAAUAAAGAAGGAAAUAAACUACCUGUCUUGCAAAGUGCUACAGCAUUGUUUGUUUCGUUUGCAAUCUGCAAAGCAGCCACUUCUAUAACAAAGUAUUUUGGCAUUCAAGGAGGAAAUCUACCUUGCAUAACAGCAAUAGUUGUGGCCUUGGCAACCUUGUUCCCAUCACAACUGGGUAGCCUAUCUCCUGCAGGUCAAGCAAUGGCUCUGAUUCUGAUGCAGGUCUUCUUUGUUGUUAUCGGAGCCAAUGGUAGUAUUUGGAAUGUGAUUUACACAACGCCUAGCAUUUUUGCAUUUGCUUCUAUCCAAAUAGCUGUGCAUCUUGUCAUAAUUCUUGGAGUCGGACGAUUGCUCGGCCUCGAGAAGAAGUUGCUGCUGAUAGCCUCAAAUGCCAAUGUCGGAGGUCCUACUACAGCCUGUGGUAUGGCGACUGCCAAGGGUUGGAGCUCUUUAGUGGUUCCUGGGAUCCUUGCAGGCAUCUUUGGGAUUGCAAUAGCAACCUUUCUUGGCAUUGGGUUUGGGGCCUACGUCCUCCAGAAGAUGUAGCACUUCCAAAUCGAAUGCCACAGUGUCAAAAGGCUAAGUCAUUCUUCAGCAUUGAAUUUCCAGAUAAACACGAGCAUCAAAACGACUCGACAAGUUGACAUUCGAUGCUGCCAUAACUAGUCGAAUUUCUAGAUAAACACGAGCAUCAAAACGACUCGACAAGUUGACAUCAUUCUUUUGGUUUCCUUUCCUCGUCUGGUUGGUUUCUCUCUGUUAUUUCUCUUGCUUCAUUUCCUAAUUUGUUCUUUGUAAAACUUCAUUAAAAAUUGUUUUUUGUUAUAUCAAAGUACCCUUCUAAAAUGACUUUUGUUGCCA